rnacentral:sRNA from 1 species
CAUCAACUGGCAGCAUUCUAGAAAAUGAGCAAAGAUCAAAUUUAAUGAAUAAUAUCCUUCGAAUAAUUUCUGAUUUACAGCAGUCUUGUGAAUAUGAUAUUCCCAUGUUGCCUCAUGUCCAAAAAUAUCUCAACUCCGUUCAGUAUAUAGAAGAACUACAAAAAUUUGUGGAAGACGAUAAUUACAAGCUUUCAUUAAAGAUAGAACCAGGGACAAGCACCCCACGUUCUGCUGCUUCCAGAGAAGAUUUAGUAGGUCCUGAAGUAGGAGCGUCUCCACAGAGUGGACGAAAAAGUGUGGCAGCUGAAGGAGCCUUGCUCCCACAGACACCGCCAUCCCCUCGGAAUCUGAUUCCACAUGGACAUAGGAAGUGCCAUAGUUUGGGUUAUAAUUUCAUUCAUAAAAUGAACACAGCAGAAUUUAAGAGUGCAACGUUUCCAAAUGCAGGACCAAGACAUCUGUUAGAUGAUAGCGUCAUGGAGCCCCAUGCGCCAUCUCGAGGCCAAGCUGAAAGUUCUACUCUUUCUAGUGGAAUAUCAAUAGGUAGCAGCGAUGGUUCUGAACUAAGUGAAGAGACCUCAUGGCCUGCUUUUGAAAGUUCUGCAGAAUCAGAAGAUUUGGCAGUACAUUUAUAUCCAGGAGCUGUUACUAUUCAAGGUGUUCUCAGGAGA